rnacentral:tRNA from 1 species
GGGGGGAGCCGUGGCUUGGUGGUAGAGUAUCUGCUUGGAAUGCAGAAUGUCCCAGGUUCAAAUACCAGCACCUCA